rnacentral:rRNA from 1 species
CGCUAGCUACAGGCUUAACACAUGCAAGUCGAGGGGCAGCAUGAAGUUUGCUUGCAAACUUUGAUGGCGACCGGCGCACGGGUGAGUAACACGUAUCCAACCUGCCUUUCACUCGGGAAUAGCCUUUCGAAAGAAAGAUUAAUGUCCGAUGGUACUGGUUUCUCGCAUGAGGAACUUUUUAAAGAAUUUCGGUGGAAGAUGGGGAUGCGUUCCAUUAGGCAGUUGGCGGGGUAACGGCCCACCAAACCGACGAUGGAUAGGGGUUCUGAGAGGAAGGUCCCCCACAUUGGAACUGAGACACGGUCCAAACUCCUACGGGAGGCAGCAGUGAGGAAUAUUGGUCAAUGGACGAGAGUCUGAACCAGCCAAGUAGCGUGAAGGAUGACUGCCCUAUGGGUUGUAAACUUCUUUUAUACGGGAAUAAAGUGAAGCACGUGUGCUUUUUUGUAUGUACCGUAUGAAUAAGGAUCGGCUAACUCCGUGCCAGCAGCCGCGGUAAUACGGAGGAUCCGAGCGUUAUCCGGAUUUAUUGGGUUUAAAGGGAGCGUAGGCGGAAGUUUAAGUCAGUUGUGAAAGUUUGCGGCUCAACCGUAAAAUUGCAGUUGAUACUGGAUUUCUUGAGUGCGGUAUAGGUAGGCGAAGUUCGUGGUGUAGCGGUGAAAUGCUUAGAGAUCCUAUGAGGAGCCGAUUG